UGACGUCACCGCGUUGACGUGAACGGCCGCUCGGCGUCCGACCGUCCCAGCAUUUCCUCCCACGGCCGCACAGGGUGGCACAUCUGCGCCUAUUGGUCGGAAUGCAACGGUGGGCAUGACCAGGGCGUGGCAGAGAGAAGACUCCUUGGGCGAGCCUCGAAGGCUGCUCGAAGCCGCCGUGAUGGACCUGUUUUCACGUCGCUCACGUCCUCCCUAGCCGAGAAGGCGCUUUCGGAAGCGAGCGGUCGCCGGCAUCGUGGCUAAGCCUGGCUUCCUCUCAGUCCUACCUGGACCGAAGCCGAAGCAGGCUGAAGCGAGCGUGUGAGCCCCGGAUUCCAGACCCGCGUCUGAUGCUUCAGGACCUGUGAUGAUGUGCAGUGUGUGUUAGGUGUCACCCAGCCUCACACGCCGUCAUAGGUUAUGUGCUUAACAAAAAACACCAGAGAGAAAAUCCCGAUGAACCCAAAUUUAGACACCACUCAUUUCAAAAAAAAAAAAAAAAAAAAAAGAGGGUUCCACGUGGUCUUACAUACUGAGUUCCUAUCGCGUGUCACAAUACACAGGAAACCUGUCCCCUUGCUCAAGGAGCUGUAUUGUGACUCAGCAGGGGAGUGCAUGUACAAAUGCCUGGCCUCGGCCCGAGCUUGCCCAAGAGCCUGGUGAACAGACCUAGGCUUCAAAAGGAUUGGCAACUUCUGCCUUAUUUGAAGGCAGCUGCUGUGGAAAAACCAUCACUGAUGUCACCAUGCCGAGAGCAGUCAUGUGAGGAGACUGGAAGACACCAAGGAUCUUACCAUGUGAAUGAAGCUUUUGGGAGCAUCAAGGGAACUGUAACCACUAACUGAGAUGCUAAAUGCAUGAUCUUCAUCCAGGCUGUGGAGCAGCAGCAGAACUACAGGGUAGAACCAUCGUUGAGUGCCAGUUCACAUAAUCAAAUGGAGACCAUCACAGAAAACCAGAAAUGGGCACAGUACAGAAAUCAACGGAUUGUGGGGAGCACAACCCCAAUGAAUAUAUCUACAUCCAUGAUUCAAAAUAUCUCAGAAGGGGAUGGAAAGAUUGUAAGAGCCAAAAUUCCAGGAAGUCAUCUAUGAAAUGGACUCUCCUAGAAAUGGCUUUAUAACAACUAGGACAAUGGUAAUAUCAAUGGACAUGCUGGAGUGGGGAGCAGAAAAUUUCAGUGGUGUUUCAUCCCUAGACAAUGAGCGACAGCUAAUGACUGCUGGAGAAUUACACUCUCCAGGGAAGAGCCCCUUGGUUGGAUAUUAAAUAUAGAGUGGUCAGCCUUGAAGCCAUAUACAUACAAUGAACCAAAUAAGUUCUGUUUACAUAUAUCUGUGCAUACAUACACGUAACAAGUAUAAUUAAAGAAGCCAUCAAGUUGAGGGAAUACAUGGGAGGAGUUUGAGUGAGGGAAAGGAG
rnacentral:lncRNA from 1 species